ACGAAACCCCACAGCUCCUAAGAAUUCUCUCACCUGCCUUCUGCCCUUAAGCUCCGGUAGAUUGCAAAUAACCUGCUUUCUUUCUGUUCCCGAGCUGCGUUCGGACCCAUGUCUUAUUGUAAAUCCCACGCAAGCUGCGUUCGGACCCGUCUGAUCGUAAAUCCCAUGUAAGGUACCUGCCGUCGGAAGAUUUGAACGUUCUACUUGGACACCUAAAACCCACAGUCCUCCAGAAAACACAAGGACAAACCCUACUGUGAAGCAGUGGAGACUGGAGUCCUGCAUUUGCUGAACUUUCUUUUUAUGUGUUGGAUUCUGAUUUUAUAUUCAUUUCCAUUCAUGUGGACUCUGAAGAGUUAAACUCACCAAGGACACUUGAAGAAGUCACGUCCAGGGAUCACUGUCAUCACAAAUGGAGAAAAGGCCAAUGUCUUUCCAUGCUGCCUCACCAGAAAAGGACUGAGUUGAGAUAUUUUACAGCUGAGAAGGAAAUUAUGCAGCCUGUAGGAUAAAUUCCUCUCCUGGCAGAUUGAGUGGAUGUAGCACCAGAAGCUCCCAGAAUAAUCACAACUU
rnacentral:lncRNA from 10 species